rnacentral:rRNA from 1 species
UACGUAGGGUGCGAGCGUUGUCCGGAAUUAUUGGGCGUAAAGAGCUCGUAGGCGGCUUGUCGCGUCGACCGUGAAAACUUGGGGCUCAACCCCAAGCCUGCGGUCGAUACGGGCAGGCUCGAGUUCGGUAGGGGAGACUGGAAUUCCUGGUGUAGCGGUGAAAUGCGCAGAUAUCAGGAAGAACACCAAUGGCGAAAGCAGCUCUCUGGGACGGUACUGACGCUGAGACGCGAAAGCGUGGGGAGCGAACAGG